AGUGAACGCUGGCGGUAGGCCUAACACAUGCAAGUCGAACGGCAGCACAGUAAGAGCUUGCUCUUACGGGUGGCGAGUGGCGGACGGGUGAGGAAUACAUCGGAAUCUACUUUUUCGUGGGGGAUAACGUAGGGAAACUUACGCUAAUACCGCAUACGACCUACGGGUGAAAGCAGGGGAUCUUCGGACCUUGCGCGAUUGAAUGAGCCGAUGUCGGAUUAGCUAGUUGGCGGGGUAAAGGCCCACCAAGGCGACGAUCCGUAGCUGGUCUGAGAGGAUGAUCAGCCACACUGGAACUGAGACACGGUCCAGACUCCUACGGGAGGCAGCAGUGGGGAAUAUUGGACAAUGGGCGCAAGCCUGAUCCAGCCACACCGCGUGGGUGAAGAAGGCCUUCGGGUUGUAAAGUCCUUUUGUUGGGAAAGAAAAGCAGCAGGUUAAUACCCCGCUGUUCUGACGGUACCCAAAGAAUAAGCACCGGCUAACUUCGUG
rnacentral:rRNA from 1 species